CCUACGGGGUGCAGCAGUGGGGAAUAUUGGACAAUGGGCGAAAGCCUGAUCCAGCCAUGCCGCGUGUGUGAAGAAGGCCUUCGGGUUGUAAAGCACUUUCAGUGGGGAAGAAAGCCUUGGGGCUAAUACCCUCGAGGAAGGACAUCACCCACAGAAGAAGCACCGGCUAACUCCGUGCCAGCAGCCGCGGUAAUACGGAGGGUGCGAGCGUUAAUCGGAAUUACUGGGCGUAAAGCGCGCGUAGGCGGUCUGAUAAGCCGGUUGUGAAAGCCCCGGGCUCAACCUGGGAACGGCAUCCGGAACUGUCAGGCUAGAGUGCAGGAGAGGAAGGUAGAAUUCCCGGUGUAGCGGUGAAAUGCGUAGAGAUCGGGAGGAAUACCAGUGGCGAGGCGGCCUUCUGGACUGACACUGACGCUGAGGUGCGAAAGCGUGGGUAGCAAACAGGAUUAGAUACCCGAGUAGUC
rnacentral:rRNA from 1 species